rnacentral:rRNA from 1 species
GCCGUGAAAGUCCGGGCUCAAACUCCGGAUCUGCGGUGGGUACGGGCAGACUAGAGUGAUGUAGGGGAGACUGGAUUCCCUGGUGUAGCGGUGAAAUGCGCAGAUAUCAGGAGGAACACCGAUGGCGAAGGCAGGUCUCUGGGCAUUAACUGACGCUGAGGAGCGAAAGCAUGGGGAGCGAACAGGAUUAGAUACCCUGGUAGUCCAUGCCGUAAACGUUGGGCACUAGGUGUGGGGGACAUUCCACGUUUUCCGCGCCGUAGCUAACGCAUUAAGUGCCCCGCCUGGGGAGUACGGCCGCAAGGCUAAAACUCAAAGGAAUUGACGGGGGCCCGCACAAGCGGCGGAGCAUGCGGAUUAAUUCGAUGCAACGCGAAGAACCUUACCAAGGCUUGACAUGGACUGGAAAUACCUGGAAACAGGUGCCCCGCUUGCGGCCGGUUCACAGGUGGUGCAUGGUUGUCGUCAGCUCGUGUCGUGAGAUGUUGGGUUAAGUCCCGCAACGAGCGCAACCCUCGUUCUAUGUUGCCAGCACGUGAUGGUGGGGACUCAUAGGAGACUGCCGGGGUCAACUCGGAGGAAGGUGGGGACGACGUCAAAUCAUCAUGCCCCUUAUGUCUUGGGCUUCACGCAUGCUACAAUGGCCGGUACAAAGGGUUGCGAUACUGUGAGGUGGAGCUAAUCCCAAAAAGCCGGUCACAGUUCGGAUUGGGGUCUGCAACUCGACCCCAUGAAGUCGGAGUCGCUAGUAAUCGCAGAUCAGCAACGCUGCGGUGAAUACGUUCCCGGGCCUUGUACACACCGCCCGUCAAGUCACGAAAGUUGGUAACACCCGAAGCCGGUGGCCUAACCCCUUGUGGGAGGGAGCUGUCGAAGGUGGGACUGGCGAUUGGGACUAAGUCGUAACAAGGUAGCCGUA